rnacentral:rRNA from 1 species
UACGGAGGGUGCAAGCGUUAUCCGGAUUCACUGGGUUUAAAGGGUGCGUAGGUGGGCUAGUAAGUCCGUGGUGAAGUCUCUGAGCUUAACUCGGAAACUGCCGUGGAUACUAUUAGUCUUGAAUCUCGUGGAGGUAAGCGGAAUAUGUCAUGUAGCGGUGAAAUGCUUAGAUAUGACAUAGAACACCGAUAGCGAAGGCAGCUUGCUACACGAGUAUUGACACUGAGGCACGAAAGCGUGGGGAUCAAACAGG